UUCCGCUUCAAAUUCAUCACUUUUCUUCUAUAUUCCCAGUCAUAUACAUCGCGGAAUGGUUUCGUUAUCAUGACGUCACAUCCGAACAAAGAGGAAGUGUGGGAGACACUUUACAAUAGUGACUGCCGAAGUCUGUUCACGUACCCUACACGUGAUCAGUGUUAUCUACCAACAGCUGAAACUUCAGUGACAACCAAGAGGUUCGAAGUGACGGUUUGCAGAUCUACCCCAUUGUCUGACAACAUCUUACUGAACACGGUUGAACUCAAAUUAAAGGAUAGUGACGAGGUCACUGUUAUGCAACACUCACCACAACACCGGAAGUGCACGUGACGCGGAACUGGAUUUGCUCAUUGAUAGCCUUCUGACAUGGACCAAUGAUCCGGAACGAGUCUGCAGCAUGAUCAUUUCUGACUGUAUGAGCGAGUGUCGACUCCUAGUGCUUCUUGUGAACAUCGCCAGCAGACUGCAGGACGACGGUAGGGUGGACGUCAUCAACAACAUGCGACAAAUGUUCACACGUCUGGGAGGUCCACCAUUCACAGAGGCAGACGUGAGACUUUGUUUGGAGUUUACUCAGCGGCGACUGGAGACACUCGGGGUUUAUGCCAACACGUGAAAUGCACACGAGAACUUUGUUUUUCAAUACCAAACACUGUAUACAGGAACAGUGUCCUUUGGUAUUCAGUAUAAUUCUAAGCAAUGCUGCACAACUUUCGGAGCAUAUGCUCUUAAGGUGACCAAUAUUCUUUUCUCUAUGAUUACAUCUUCAUCGGCAUCACAGCCUAAAAAAAUAAAGUAUGACUUCGGAGGUUCCAUCCGAGUUUCUUAGUAUGGGAAAUAUUUCGUAUUAUUCCUUUGCUUUUAACAUGAUUACGCUUCUCUACAUGAGAAGAGAUUAACUCACGAUAAACUAUUGACGGCUUUAUAUUCUGAUAUGUAGAAUUCUUAAAAUUCAGGGCACAAUUUUGCACAUUUUUCAGGUUAAGAUAUUCUUUGCAGGUCGUAGGCCUUACAUUUAUUUAUUUUUGUUUUCUCAAGUCCGUUUUGUAGCUCAACUGACUGAAAGUCUGAUUUGCAAUAUGUCCGGGUGAAAAAUCUAUUUAUGGCCAUUAAUCAGUCAAUUUCAAUCCAAUUCUAAUUGGUACAGUUGGUAAAUGUUUUGUUGGGCUCAACAAAUAUGUUCCGUUGCAAUUCUACCAUAUUGAAUGAUGAAUCUUUACAUGGCCAUUACUCAGCCAUCUUUGUAUUGAAAUUUGAUAUAUGUGUAGUUUGUAGUGGUGUUCAAUACAUGUUCCAUUUUUAGCGCUGUUUAAUUGAAAACCUGUAUUUGACCUUUUACCUUUGACCCAACUACUUAACUCUCAAAAUGGAAUUCUUUGCACUGUUGAGUAAUUGUUUAUGUCAGAUGUGUACAAAUAUAAUGACAUAUCUGUAGGGCUUGUUGUGCGAUUCAACAUGCAUAUUCUCGGGUUGUUGUUUGCUAUUUUUGCAAACUUUAAAACUAUGAGCCAAACAUGCUUUGAUAACAUUUCAGAGCAAGGUCAAAAGAAGUUUAACAUUUUCAUUUAUAUAGUGAAACACUUUGCAAACGCAUAUUCGAUUGUUUGUAAUGGCUAAGAAAAUCAAUAUAACUUGUUCUGUGCAUUUAUGCAUGAGAUAACGAAAGACAACAACGUCAUCAUUCUUUGUCAUGCAAGUAAAUAUUUACAAAUACAAUCUCUUGACCUUCAAGUAAAAACUGAGAUUGCGUUUUCAUUGUGUGUCAUACAGAUUUCAAAUAAAACGCUAUCAACCAAUCAUUAUCUCGCUAUUUAUCUCAUAAUUUGUCUGGUGAGCAAGUUAUCCAGUUUUCGUGCUUAAUCUCACAAAUGUUUAGUGCAGUUUUAUAUGAGAUUUUGAUAUGUUCAUGCAAUUAUAAUUUCAGGUAUAAGAAAUAAAUGCUUUCUUGUCUUUA